CGACGUUGAUAGGUUGGAUGUGGAAGUGCGGUGACGCAUGAAGCUGACCAAUACUAAUUGCUCGUGAGGCUUGACUAUACAACACCCAAGCAGUUG
rnacentral:rRNA from 1 species